rnacentral:rRNA from 1 species
AUUGAACGCUGGCGGCAGGCCUAACACAUGCAAGUCGAGCGGAUGAAGGGAGCUUGCUCCUGGAUUCAGCGGCGGACGGGUGAGUAAUGCCUAGGAAUCUGCCUGGUAGUGGGUGAUAACGUCCGGAAACGGGCGCUAAUACCGCAUACGUCCUGCGGGAGAAAGUGGGGGAUCUUCGGACCUCACGCUAUCAGAUGAGCCUAGGUCGGAUUAGCUAGUUGGUGGGGUAAAGGCCUACCAAGGCGACGAUCCGUAACUGGUCUGAGAGGAUGAUCAGUCACACUGGAACUGAGACACGGUCCAGACGCCUACGGGAGGCAGCAGUGGGGAAUAUUGGACAAUGGGCGAAAGCAUGAUCCAGCCAGGCCGCGUGUGUGAAGAAGGUCUGCGGAUUGUAAAGCACUUUAAGUUGGGAGGAAGGGCAGUAAGUUAAUACCUUGCGGUUUAGACGUUACCAACAGAAUAAGCACCGGGUAGCUUCGUG